ACGGACGCUGGCGGCGUGCCUAAUACAUGCAAGUAGAACGCUGAAGAGAGGAGCUUACUCUUCUUGGAUGAGUUGCGAACGGGUGAGUAACGCGUAGGUAACCUGCCUUGUAGCGGGGGAUAACUAUUGGAAACGAUAGCUAAUACCGCAUAACAAUGGAUGACACAUGUCAUUUAUUUGAAAGGGGCAAUUGCUCCACUACAAGAUGGACCUGCGUUGUAUUAGCUAGUAGGUGAGGUAAUGGCUCACCUAGGCGACGAUACAUAGCCGACCUGAGAGGGUGAUCGGCCACACUGGGACUGAGACACGGCCCAGACUCCUACGGGAGGCAGCAGUAGGGAAUCUUCGGCAAUGGGGGCAACCCUGACCGAGCAACGCCGCGUGAGUGAAGAAGGUUUUCGGAUCGUAAAGCUCUGUUGUAAGUCAAGAACGGGUGUGAGAGUGGAAAGUUCACACUGUGACGGUAGCUUACCAGAAAGGGACGGCUAACUACGUG
rnacentral:rRNA from 1 species